ACAGUUUCUUGUCUAGCUCCCCCAUGAGAGCUUGCAAACAACAUCCGAGAUACUUUACCCUCAUCAACUGGGCUACUCCCUUCCCACCGAAGUGUAUUGCCCCCUCCAUACCGAAGUGCCUUCACCAUCUCACCGAGGUGCCCUGCACCUCCCCCACCGAGGUGCGCCGCCAAGGUACGUCACUUUCGCGAGUUGCUCGUGAGCCUAUCUCUCCUCGCCUUAGGUGCACAACUGGAGAGAUCACCCGCCACUGAAUCAAAUCACCGCUAGCGAAGAGACUCGUUUCGGCAUUGUCGCGCCCUUCGCGUACAGCUUUUCAAAAUCUGACUUAGUCUCCUUCCUCUGAGCUUUUAACUGACUUCGCUUCAUAGUUGCCGCCACUUGUGCUGGCCAUACUUUCACAUCAUAUCUCACAAAAUAUCUUCUCUACGCUCUAUACCGCCAUUGAUCCUCCCGGGUACCAUUACAGAUCCUCCAAGCACCCUUAUGCUUGCUUUGCGUACCUCUGUCUUGUCCAUUCUUCUCGCUAAUACCACUAAACCCAUGUCAAACAGUAACUCCUGCCCUAUUUGGCACUCUUUCUCCCUCUAGUAUAUAGCCUUUAGAGUCUUCUUUUUUUCCACAUUAUCUCCUUGUCUUCUUCUCUUGAAAACUCUUUCGAUUUCCUCCCACUAGCUUUCAAACUACAUCCUUUGAAUCUAUUAUCCUAAUGAAAUAAAAUUUUUUUUGUAGAUUAGGAACAUGCCUUACCUCGGUCAAGGUCACAUACCUUUCAUCUGCCAUGCAAAACCAGACUGAUCCUUUGCCAAUAACUCUUCUAGCUAUGUUGUUCGUCAUUCAUACACGUCCUUCGCAUGCUACAUAUGUAGAGAACAUCUCUUUGUCACUGCACAAGUGGUAAGCACUGCCUGAAUCCCAUACUCAAUCCUGACUUUUUCAUCGUCGAUGCUCUAGAGGAAUAUCACUCUUAUCCACAUCCAUCACUGCUAUUGCUACUGUCUUUGAAGACUGAUCCUGUACUUUAUACUUUGAGCAAUCCCUCUUGAUAAAAGCAAAAUCUCCAAAAACCAACCCUGCGAAUGAAUCUUAAAUGCCGAGGAACCUUAAAAAAGUCUAAACUGUCAAAAUCAAAAAUUUUUGGGACCAAAUUAACAAAAUCAGAAAGAUCUUGGACCAAAUUAUAAAUAACCAAAACUUUAAGAAAUAAAAUGUAAUUAUCAGUAACUUCAGGGGCCAAUCUGUAAUUAUCAGUAACUUUAGGGAUCAAUCUGCAAUUAACAAAAACUCUAAAGACCAAACUAUAAUUUACCAGAGGAAAUAUUCCUGGAAUAUUAUUUGCUAACGUGGCUGUUGACUAGGCACUAACUCAGCGUUGGCGUGGCGCUGACUGGACGACACGUGGCAUAGCAAGUGCACGUGUGUGGCUCGUGUGGCGUGUGUGAACAGCCUCCCUAGCGCGUGCAACGUGUGCUGGCACGUGUCCCACCUCCCCAACGCGUGUAGGCGCGUGAGCACCUCUCCUUGGCUCGUGCAAGCGCGUGGUACCCCCUCUGAGCCUGUGGCAGCGCGGGGGGCCUCUCCUUGCGCGUGGGUGAGACUAAUCUAACUCGUCGAUGAUCAGGCAACGCAUGAGGGUGCGUUCGGACUAUUUUCCAAAGCAGUUUGGCGCUAGAGUUUCGUCUCAAAGAGAGGAACACCCUGGUGCAAUCAAAAAUUUAUUAUGAGCACUUCCGCGGACACCCGAAUUUCGACCUGGGCUCCGAAUCUUGACCUCGCCUCGACCUAGGCUCUGAUACCAAUUGUUGUGCUCAAAAUGAAUAACCAAUCACACACACAAAAGAUAAUAGAAAUUUACAUGGUUUGGCCAAUGAUGUCUACGUUCACGGAGAGAAAAUAAGAAUCCACUAAUCGAACGAAUGGAUUACAAAGGAGGAGAUCCACCCUCUCAAUUCGCCCUCUCUCUAUGUCUUGCCUCUCAAUCUCAGCUCACAAUACUCUGCUCUCAGCUCACAACACAUUGCACUAAAAAUCUAAGCACCAUGCCCUCCCUUUUAUAGACUAUGGGAAGGAGGUGGUAGACUUUUAAACAAAUACCUAAUUGUUAUCCUAAUCUAACGAGGAAAACAUAAAGAUAAUUUCUCUCAAGAAGUGCUAGAUAACGUAGAGUUUAUUCUCACAUGGACACUUUAUAUGAACCCCAACCAGGCUUGGGCUUGGCGAUAGCUUAGACUCAUCCAGUGGGCUGGAUUUCAACAAUACAUCAAAGUGGCUAUUCUACUUCAAACUAGAAGUUCUCAUGCUUGGCAUCUAGGGUUUUACAGCUACACCAAGCAAAGACGCAUCCCCUUUUGUCUUAACUUUCCGCGUUACCUUCUUAUACUUCUCUAGAGUUAAGUCCAAAUGCAAUUUCCAAAUAAUUAUUCAAGGAAGAAAAAGUUGCAAAUCUAUAAUUCAAAUAUACUUUUCUUUAAAUUGAAUGCAUGGUAUCAUGUGUAAACUU
rnacentral:lncRNA from 1 species